rnacentral:rRNA from 1 species
CCUACGGGAGGCAGCAGUGGGGAAUAUUGCACAAUGGGGGAAACCCUGAUGCAGCGACGCCGCGUGAGUGAAGAAGUACUUCGGUACGUAAAGCUCUAUCAGCAGGGAAGAAAAUGACGGUAGCUGAGUAAGAAGCAACGGCUAACUACGUGCCAGCAGCCGCGGGAAUACGUAGGGGGCAAGCGCGAUCCGGAUUUACUGGGUGUAAAGGGAGCGUAGACGGUGGGCCAAGUCUGGAGGGAAAUGCCGGCGCUUAACGUCGGAACUGCUUUGGAAACUGGCGAACUAGAGUGCGGGAGGGGUAAGCGGAAUUCCUGGUGUAGCAGUGAAAUGCGUAGAUAUUAGGAGGAACACCGGUGGCGAAGGUGACUAUCUGGAACGUAACUGACGUUGAGGCGCGAAAGCGUGGGGAGCAAACAGGAUUAGAUACCCGAGUAGUC